GAAGGCAGUGCUUAGUCCUAUACAAGCAGCUGCCAUGGCUGCAGAAAGAAGAUUGAAAGAUGAUUUGUGGUGUGGUUCCAAGUCUUUGGAGAACAAUUCAGGUAGAGCCAAAAACAUGAAUUCUUCCACGGGACCCUCCAGAACUUCAAAUGCUUUCACUCCUGUUAUAUCCCAAAUUCCACCAGCUGCUUCCUUUCCUACUCAUCAGGAAACUAUGGAUGAUAUGGAAAAUUGGCAGUGCAGUGCAUGUACCCUUCUUAAC
rnacentral:misc_RNA from 1 species